GUGACAGGAAAUACAGUGGUGUUGCUGCCACCACCCACUGUCGACCCCCUGUGCCAUACCGAGGAGGAACUUCUUCCUCCCCCUGAGCCUAGGGCCUCCACUUCAAGGCCAAGACAAAGACACAAGGUUGGAGCAGACAAUGUGAGGGCCCUGUAUAAAAGAACCCUGGAGCACGAUAUAGAGUAUAAGAGGCGUUUAAGUAAGGCUGUUUUUGAAAAAUGCUAUAAAAGUGAAUGAAACAUCCAAAUUCAAUUAAAGUAGUGAAAUGAUCAUUUAUUUAACUUGUGAAGAGCAUUGUACGGUACCAUACACGUUAUUUUUGGUUUGAAAUGUUUUGGUUGAAGGAAACCCAAAUUUCUGAUAUGGAAAUAAUUAGAAAAUGGGUCAAAGCAACCCAAGGACAACAGAAGGGGUUAAGGGGAGACACCCCACUGAAUAGGGAUAACAUAUCAACAUGACACUACAUAAAAGUACCCGUAGCGAAAUAACGCAAGACUAUGCAUACAGUCUGUGGGACUGUGAGCACACGGCUUCGAUGUGUCGCAUUGGCAACAUACGACUCAAGAAGUUGGCAAAGAUAAGUAAUUCCCUUGGGAAUCUAUAUCUUUCAUAAAGAUAAUCAUCAGGGAAUGCCAAAGGGUUUUGUCGGUCUCUAAAUGUUCUGCCUCUUCUGAGCGCACCUCUCACUAUCAGCGCACCAAGCUUCACAGAAUCCUCUAUGAACGGUGAAGCCAUUAUCCUCAAGAAUUGAGUUAGAGAGCGGGGCUUUUAUACCGGUUGAUCUCCGAUCUCCAACUUAACCUGCUCCUGACCAGGUUAGGCUUUCAGCAUGUGUUACCAUGGCGAUCUACCCCGGUAACAAGUGAUCUACCGUCGUGAUACAGAAAACUCCGGGUUGAACCUGAAGUUACCUCGUUACACCAAAUCUUGAUUCGUAGUACAGGCAACUGGUGUCGCUUUUAUGUAACCAACAUGUAGAUAAAUCUUGUCCAUGUUCACCAAAUUUGGCACAGAUGACCUUCAAACCAACCUAACAAAAGAUAUCGUAUGGAUUUUUUAUUUUCUAAACAAUUUUUCCAAUACAUCCAAUUGGCGCUUAGCCACCAAACAGGAAGUUGCUUUGUAUGCUCUUUGAUGCAUUUAUACCAAACUCGGUAAAUGUACUCUGAACCCAGUUCUGCAGAUUUCUAAAAGGUUUUUGUGUCAUUUGACUUGCGGGACUGCUUGGCCUCCUUUAUUGCAGCUGUAUUUGACAUGUAUCAUUGACAAAGCAAUGUCAACACUUGUUUAAAUAAACUAUAAUGAGUUGUGUUUGCAGGUAACAUUGUAACAUUGUAAACUACAUAUUAUGUCAAAAUCUCAAAUUCCUAUGGAAAGUUUCAUAAUGUAUCCAAUAAUUUAACAAUUUAGGGGAGAUCCUAGCA